AGAGUUUGAUCAUGGCUCAGAUUGAACGCUGGCGGAAUGCUUUACACAUGCAAGUCGAACGGCAGCAUAGGUGCUUGCACCUGAUGGCGAGUGGCGAACGGGUGAGUAAUACAUCGGAACGUGCCCAGUCGUGGGGGAUAACGUAGCGAAAGUUACGCUAAUACCGCAUACGAUCUACGGAUGAAAGCGGGGGACCGUAAGGCCUCGCGCGAUUGGAGCGGCCGAUGUUAGAUUAGGUAGUUGGUGGGGUAAAGGCUCACCAAGCCGACGAUCUAUAGCUGGUCUGAGAGGAUGAUCAGCCACACUGGGACUGAGACACGGCCCAGACUCCUACGGGAGGCAGCAGUGGGGAAUUUUGGACAAUGGGCGCAAGCCUGAUCCAGCCAUUCCGCGUGCAGGACGAAGGCCUUCGGGUUGUAAACUGCUUUUGUACAGAACGAAAAGCCUUGGGUUAAUACCCUAGGGUCAUGACGGUACUGUAAGAAUAAGCACCGGCUAACUACGUGCCAGCAGCCGCGGUAAU
rnacentral:rRNA from 1 species